AGAGUUUGAUCCUGGCUCAGAACGAACGCUGGCGGCGUGGAUUAGGCAUGCAAGUCGAGCGAGAAAGCUCCCUUCGGGGGGUGAGUACAGCGGCGAACGGGUGAGUAACGCGUGGGAAACCUGCCUUCGAGCGGGGGAUAACAGUUCUAACGAACUGCUAAUACCGCAUGACACUGCUGAUCGUAUGUUCAGUAGUUAAAGAUGGCCUCUACAUGUAAGCUGUCACUUGAAGAUGGUCCCGCGUCCUAUUAGCUUGUUGGUAGGGUAACGGCCUACCAAGGCAACAAUGGGUAGCCGGCCUGAGAGGGUGGUCGGCCACACUGGGACUGAGAUACGGCCCAGACUCCUACGGGAGGCAGCAGUCGAGAAGCUUCGGCAAUGGGGGAAACCCUGACCGAGCGACGUCGCGUGGGUGAUGA
rnacentral:rRNA from 1 species